rnacentral:rRNA from 1 species
UACCAGCCCCCUGAGUGGUAAGGACGAUUAUUUGGCCUAAAGCGUCCGUAGCCGGCUUAGCAAGUCCUUCGUGAAAUCCGGCGACUCAAUCGUCGGGCGUGCGAGGGAUACUACUAGGCUAGAGGGCGGGAGAGGUCGACGGUAUUCCGGGGGUAGGGGUAAAAUCCUAUAAUCCUCGGAGGACCACCAGUGGCGAAGGCGGUCGACUAGAACGUGCCUGACGGUGAUGGACGAAAGCUGGGGGAGCAAACCGGAUUAGACACCCGGGUAGUCCCAGCCGUAAACGAUGCGGGCUAGCUGUUGGGGCAGCCACGAGCUGCUCCGGUGGCGCAGAGAAGUCAUUAAGCCCGCCGCCUGGGAAGUACGGUCGCAAGACUGAAACUUAAAGGAAUUGGCGGGGAGCACCACAAGGGGUGAAGCCUGCGGUUC